rnacentral:lncRNA from 1 species
GAAGGAACCGAAGGAACCUUCUCCAAUAGCGAUGUCGUCGUCUGUGACAAGCGAUACGGUGAUUGGGUUGUAACUGUAGACGACUUUCUUGUUUGGGUUUUUGGCUGUGACGUUUAGGUUGAUGUUGGUGAUCAGCUUGGAAGCUGAGGUUACGUUAAGUGCCGAGAUUUUGAGGGAGGAAACAGUGAAAGUAGGACGGUGAGGGCGGUAAAGAACGUACAAUAUAGCAGAAGCUACGGCGGCUAUGAGGAUGAGAACGAGGAUAGCUAUGGUGGUCCAAAGGCAGCAAGAACAGCAAGAGCGGCGGUAGCGGUGGCGUUCGG